AACACCCUCAGAACUUUCUUGAUUUUCGAAUCUUGGAGCUCUGGAUUUGAGUGAUCCCAACGUGUUCUUUCGCAGAACAUGGCGGGCCACUUGAAAUGCAGGUGCAGCUGGACUUUCUUCUGAGCUAAAAGCAUAUUUAUUUAGUCCUGUCAACACUUGUGUUGCGGAUUAUUACUUCUGCUGCAGCUUACAUAAAGGUUGAUUGUUCAAAUGCUGACUGAUGCAGAAUUUAUCAGUCGCGUAAAGCGAUCUGUUAA
rnacentral:misc_RNA from 1 species